AGCGGUCACACUAAUGUUAUUAUCCUAAAAUUCUAAAAAAAAUUGAAACAAAUAUAUAAAACAUGUAUUUUAACGGUGACUUAAGUCUCCAAUUAUUGGAUUUGCAUCGGUAUCGAUCUUUACUGCUGAGCUUAAAAGCCUACGAUAUGCACAUUUCUCUAAUAAAAAUAACAUUUCUCUAGCAAAAGAAACGUAACUGUUUCGUAUAAGUUAUUUUGACAAAAACAUGAAGCGGGCAGGAGUAUUUAAAAAGCUAAGAGUAAGUUUUGCAAGCCCAGUACUGAAGAAAAAUUAAGAACUUAAAUGGCGAUAUUGCGCCAACUGACGCCGCAGCCAACCGAUUAUUUGGGACCCCCAAAACAUUCCGCCUUAAGAGGGAUGAUGAGCUUUAAAUCUAAGGACUGGAUACCAAGCAUUUCCCUUGACGGAACUGGAGGAAAUAGAGAUGGUAGAUGAGGAAAUGAGUGAUCCCGUUAAAUCAUCUUUUUACAUCCAAGCCAUGAGGGAUACUCUUAAGCCUGGCGGGAGGUCACAUCCUGGUGGACUCAAAAACACUUUCAUCUUAUACUAGCAUGGCGGUGGCAUCCACAAUAAGAUAUUCCUGAAAAAGUUUAAAAAUUUCAACAACGCCUUAUUCGAAGUUCAAAAGCGGGACGGUUAUUACAGAGACGACUACGUCACCGAAAUCAGACUGGCAAUCUAGACUUACAAAAGUCGAAGGCAUAAAAACAUAUCCUAUGCUCGGAGAAAAAUCAGGGAAGCCAUGGCCAAUAUCGAACCUGAAGUUAUGAUUGAAGAGGUCUUUUAUCCAGAAUAAACUUUCUUUAAAAAUA